rnacentral:rRNA from 1 species
AUUGAACGCUGGCGGCAGGCCUAACACAUGUAAGUCGAACGAGUGGCGGACGGGUGAGUAAUGUCUGGGAAACUGCCUGAUGGGGGGGGAUAACUACUGGAAACGGUCGCUAAUACCGCAUACCAUCGGAUGUGCCCAGAUGGGAUUAGCUCGUGGGUGGGGUAAAGGCUCACCUAGGUGAAGAUCCAUAGGGGGUUUGAGAGGCUGAACAGGCACACUGGAACUGAGAUACGGCCCAGACGCCUACCGGAGGAAGCAGUGGGGAAUAUCGCACAAUGGGCGCAAGCCUGAUGCAGCCAUGCCGCGCGUAUGAAGAAGGCCUUCGUGUUUUAAAGUACUUGCAUCUGGGAGGCGUUACCCACAGAAGAAGCGCCGGCUAACUCCGUGCCAGCAGCCGCGGUAAUUC